rnacentral:rRNA from 1 species
GGCCAGACUCCUACGGGAGGCAGCAGUGGGGAAUAUUGCACAAUGGGGGAAACCCUGAUGCAGCGACGCCGCGUGAGCGAUGAAGUAUUUCGGUAUGUAAAGCUCUAUCAGCAGGGAAGAAAAUGACGGUACCUGACUAAGAAGCCCCGGCUAACUACGUGCCAGCAGCCGCGGUAAUACGUAGGGGGCAAGCGUUAUCCGGAUUUACUGGGUGUAAAGGGAGCGUAGACGGUGAAGCAAGUCUGAAGUGAAAGGCGGGGGCUCAACCCCCGGACUGCUUUGGAAACUGUUUGACUGGAGUGCAGGAGAGGUAAGUGGAAUUCCUAGUGUAGCGGUGAAAUGCGUAGAUAUUAGGAGGAACACCAGUGGCGAAGGCGGCUUACUGGACUGUAACUGACGCUGAGGCUCGAAGGCGUGGGGAGCAAACAGGAUUAGAUACCCCAGUA